CCAAAAAAAUAAAACAAUUCUUAUUUCUAAACAACUUUAUUUCUUAAAACUUCUAAGAAUAAAACGAAACAAAAACGUAAUUACUUCACAAGUAACGUUAUAAAAUAGGUAAAAUUAGCUUAUCAUCUGGCUACGCAGGUUCGCUCUUGUGCAAACCAGUUUAAAUUGUGCCACUCAGAGAAAGAAAUAAGACAAACUUAUGUAUCCAAUGAAGCUAACUUACGGUACCUAUAUGAUGAAACUUUUAACCCGGUGUAACAAAUCAAAACUACUUCAGAUGGUAAAGUCGUAGCUUGUCAACAAUAACUGCAUUUUAUAUAUUCACUGUAAAUUUACACACUGAUGCGAUUUCAAGAACUGCGAAUUCUGUGAGCUCUGAAAAUCUGAAUGAUCUUUUCAAUUGGAAUUUUACUAUUGACUUGUGUGACUACUUCCGCUUUUAAGCUAAGCAUUUAAAAUAAAAUAGAAAUUGAAGUGGUAGACGAUGUUUUUCGGCCUACGUUUAUAAAUUAUACACUCAAAUGUUCUUCAUUGGAAAACUCGGUGCGAGACUCCGAUUCGCACCUGAUCUGGAGGACUAUUGCUAUAAAUUUCUUUAAACAAUUUCGUUCGUAUACUGCAACAUUAUAAAAAAUUUAAAGAUAAUAUGGCCACGAAUGGAAAAUACAAACUAUAUUUCAUUUAAAGAUAUUCCUCAAUUCUCGUCGCUGAUAAAACUAUCACAAUAUCUGUCAAUCACAAUUGUUUAAAGUCUUUUACCCACAUUAUCAAUAUUGAAAUAAUAUCGAUUUUACAAGAAAAAUAAAACUGCUGAGCAAUCUCUUAACUUAAAAUAAUUAUGACUACAUAAUAUAAGAGUUAACUUGUUUAUAAUAUUUGCUUGGAAAUACAGAAGCUAAUACUAGUCUACUGAAAGUAAAACUUCGUAUUCCGAAGAAAUCAGUGUUUGUAUGAGACUACAUAUUUAAGUCAUUCGUAAAAUACGUAAGGGGAUGGAAUGGUUGGGGGUUGAAAGGGAUGGGUGCAGUGUAACCUAUAUGUUACUUGUUUGAAGAGUGCUGUAAUAUAGGUUGGGAUGGAAUGAGCCAACGCCAUUUUGAAAUAUAUUUUUAAGAAUGACUUGAGGAUUGCUUCACCUGUUGCUGAUAAACAUUACAUACAAGUUGCUACGGAAGGUUGUACCGAUACUAAUAGACUUCAACUUUUGAAUUUACAGGUAGUCAAUAAAUCAUAACAACCGCUCUGGUGUUGUGAUGCGAGUAGUUGCCUAAAACACCGACGGUUUGCGGGUUCGAUUCCCGCUCGAGAUGAAUACUUGUUUUUGUACAAAUAUUUCUUUCCGGUUUGGAUAUCUGUCCUUGUUGGGUCUCUCCACCGUGCUGCGGAGGGCACGUUAAGCCGUCAGUCCCGGUGGUUAUCAUAAAUACCUGACAGCAAUCGUUACUCAUAGUAGGGAACGUAUCCUCCAACCCGCAGUGGAGCAGCGUGAUGGAUUAAGCUCCAAUCCUUCUCCUCCAUUGAGAAGGGGCAUUGCGAAUAAAUUAUUUGUAAAAAAUGCGACUUGCUGGUGAAAAAAAAAAAAAAUAUAUAUAUAUGUGUGUGUUGGAUACUGUUAUUCGUAAGAUAGUUUACUAGCACCGUGUGAAACAAGCCUUUUUUUGAUAGAAUAAAAACAAACGGAAGUUAAACAAAAACAUUACAACAAAUACCAUUAAACUACACAAAAUACGAUAACUAGAAAUACCUACAUGACAUUACUACCUCUAUUAAAAAAAGCACGUAAAAAAUCGGUGGUAUUUCACACAGAUUUUAUUCAAUGUUACUAGAACUAGUUAGCUUAACAAAUAAAACAUUAACUUAUAUAGCAUUUUUGUUAUGUUUUUUUUAAUGUUUUACAAUAAAGAGUAUUUACUAUUAUUAUUAUUGCUUGGCUCUUAAGCUUAAAAUACAU
rnacentral:misc_RNA from 1 species